AGAGUUUGAUCCUGGCUCAGGACGAACGCUGGCGGCGUGCCUAAUACAUGCAAGUAGAACGCUGAAAUAAGAGCUUGCUCUUAUGGAUGAGUUGCGAACGGGUGAGUAACACGUGGGGAACCUACCUUCUAGCGGGGGAUAACACAUAGAAAUGUGUGCUAAUACCGCAUAAUAGUAUUUGAUGCAUAUCAGAUACUUGAAAGGCGCAAUUGCGUCACUAGAAGAUGGCCCCGCGGUGCAUUAGCUAGUUGGUGAGGUAACGGCUCACCAAGGCAAUGAUGCAUAGCCGACCUGAGAGGGUGAUCGGCCACACUGGGACUGAGACACGGCCCAGACUCCUACGGGAGGCAGCAGUAGGGAAUCUUCGGCAAUGGACGCAAGUCUGACCGAGCAACGCCGCGUGAGUGAAGAAGGUUUUCGGAUCGUAAAACUCUGUUGUAAGAGAAGAACGUUGAUGAGAGUGGAAAGUUCAUCAAGUGACGGUAUCUUACCAGAAAGCCACGGCUAACUACGUGCCAGCAGCCGCGGUAAUACGUAGGUGGCAAGCGUUGUCCGGAUUUAUUGGGCGUAAAGCGAGCGCAGGCGGUUGAUUAAGUCUGAUGUGAAAGCCCCCGGCUCAACCGGGGAGGGUCAUUGGAAACUGGUCAACUUGAGUGCAGAAGAGGAGAGUGGAAUUCCAUGUGUAGCGGUGAAAUGCGUAGAUAUAUGGAGGAACACCAGUGGCGAAGGCGGCUCUCUGGUCUGUAACUGACGCUGAGGCUCGAAAGCGUGGGGAGCGAACAGGAUUAGAUACCCUGGUAGUCCACGCCGUAAACGAUGAGUGCUAAGUGUUGGAGGGUUUCCGCCCUUCAGUGCUGCAGCUACGCAUAGCACUCCGCCUGGGGAGUACGACCGCAGUGAACUAAGAUGACG
rnacentral:rRNA from 1 species